rnacentral:rRNA from 1 species
UACGAAGGGGGCUAGCGUUGCUCGGAAUCACUGGGCGUAAAGCGCACGUAGGCGGCUUUUUAAGUCAGAGGUGAAAUCCUGGAGCUCAACUCCAGAACUGCCUUUGAUACUGAGAGGCUUGAGUCCGGAAGAGGAGAGUGGAAUUCCCGGUGUAGCGGUGAAAUGCGCAGAUAUCGGGAAGAACACCCGUGGCUAAGGCGGCUCUCUAGUACGGUACUGACGCUGAGACGCGAAAGCGUGGGGAGCGAACAUG